ACAUCCAUCAUUUGUUUUCUUUCACAUUUGUUUUCAGUAAAGACACACUGUAAUUGUGUAUUUAACAAUGGCAGAGAACUAACUCAAAGCCUUUUAGAUAUGAAAGCAAAAGAUUUAGUCAAAAAAAUGCAAAAAAUAUGAAAAUAUCGAAUGCCUUAUUUGUUCCCAGAGCUCCCUCAGCCAGGCUGCGGCCCUUUAAAUCGUCCACAUCAACCGUUUUGUCUGUGAGUAUAAAAAGAAAAAUAACAGAGUGGUGACAAAAUGGCACUUGAGUUUGAUUAUCAGGCUCACAGACACAUCAGAGCUCAGUCCACUGCUGGUUCCCAUGGCAACACGCUCAGAGGUAACAGAUGUACUCAAAUAUCCCAUUAGCCACUAGGAGUCCAACAAGGACCCAAUGUGUAUCACCAUUUAAGAGCAGUGAAUAUCGACAGCGGUAUAAAAUAGAUAUAUAAGAAGUCAUGCAGUCAUGAUGAACAAAUCAUGAUGGCAUACAUCUGUGGUGUUGAUGUACCUACUGUACAUAAUAUCAAUUUAUAUUAAUUUCUGAAAACCUUUUAAUUCUAAGGAGAAUAUAUUCAGGAACCACAAAUGUAAACUUUAUGCAAAUGACCAGAAGGUGGCGCCUUUCAACUGUAUAAAGAUGGAAAGGCUGGGAGGGAUCCAAAGUGGGAGAGUAGUUAUUAAUGUAACAUAGAGUACUAGAAUUAAAUGAGACAGGUGAAAAGUAAGAAAUACAAAGGAAAUUAAUAAGCAAUGUUAGAUUCACUUGUGAAUGGUCUCUUUCCAAAAAUACUAUGGUAUUCAGCUAAAUAUUUAAAAUCCAUCUCCAG